GUACACGCUGUGACUAGCAUAUCAAUAAGCGGAGGAAAAGGUACCUACGCUUAGGAUGUUGACGAGACUGUCGAUCUCAUCUAUACAUGACUCUGUGCAUAUCAAUAAGCGGAGGAAAAGAAACUAACAAGGAUUCCCCUAGUAACGGCGAGUGAAGCGGGAAGAGCUCAAAUUUGAAAUCUUAAAGGGUUUCCCUUUACGAAUUGUAGUUUAAAGAAGUGUUUUCUGUUGAGGUUUUGGUAAAAGUUCUUUGGAAUAGGACAUCAUAGAAGGUGAGAAUCCCGUAUUUGACCUUUACUUUCAACUUUGUGAUACACUUUCAAAGAGUCGGAUUGUUUGGGAAUGCAGUCCAAAAUGGGUGGUAAAUUUCAUCUAAAGCUAAAUAUUGGCGAGAGACCGAUAGCGAACAAGUACCGUGAGGGAAAGAUGAAAAGAACUUUGAAAAGAGAGUUAAACAGUACGUGAAAUUGUCAAAAGGGAAGCGUUUGACACCAGUGUUGUUUUUCUGAAAAUCAAUUAAAGAACUGUUUAUGCUAAGCUGUUUAGACUUUAUCAGCUAUACUGUUUAGUUUUGAGCUUUUCUUUAAUGCACUUUUCAGUUAACAAGUCAACAUCAAUUUCUUUUGCUGUAAAAAAGCUUGAGGAAGGUGGCUUGAGAUUCGUCUUAAGUGUUUAUAGCCUCUUGCCUAUGCAGUCGGAGAGAUUGAGGUCUGCAGCGUAGAUCCUUCGGGGCUAAAUGCAUUUGUGCUAAGUUAUAGCAUUUUAUAGACAACUUGUUGACUAUGAUUUAGUCUUGUAGCUUACUCCGCUUAUGCUAUUUUACCUACGCUUAGGAUGUUGACGAGACUGUCGAUCUC
rnacentral:rRNA from 1 species